rnacentral:rRNA from 1 species
UACGGGGGGGGCGAGCGUUGUUCGGAAUUAUUGGCGUAAGAGCUCGUAGGCGGUCUGUCGCGUCUGCUGUGAAAACUCGGGGCUCAACCCCGGGCCUGCAGUGGGUACGGGCAGACUAGAGUGCGGUAGGGGAGACUGGAAUUCCUGGCGUAGCGGUGAAAUGCGCAGAUAUCAGGAGGAACAUCAGUGGCGAAGGCGGCCAUCCUGGGACAACACUGACGCUGAAGCACGAAAGCGUGGGGAGCAAACAGG